rnacentral:rRNA from 1 species
AACGAACGCUGGCGGCGUACCUAACACAUGCAAGUCGUACGAGAAAUUCCGAUUCGUCGGGAGAGUAAAGUGGCGAACGGGUGAGUAACACUAGGGUAAUCUUCCCUUAAAUAAGGGAUAACGUUGCGAAAGCGACGCUAAUACCUUAUAAGACUACGAUCUCUUAGGAGGUAGUAGGAAAACGAUGGCCUCUGUUUCAAGCUAUCGUUUAAGGAUGAGCCCUAGCACUAUUAGCUAGUUGGUGAGGUAACGGCUCACCAAGGCGACGAUGGUUAGCUGGUCUGAGAGGAUGGCCAGCCACACUGGAACUGAGACACGGUCCAGACUCCUACGGGAGGCAGCAGUGAGGAAUAUUGCGCAAUGGGGGCAACCCUGACGCAGUGACGCCGCGUGAGUGAUGAAGGCUUUCGAGUCGUAAAGCUCUGUUAGGUGGAAAGAAACAUCCCGGCGCUAAUAUCGUCGGGACUUGACGGUACCACCGAGAGGAAGCACCGGCUAACUCCGUGCCAGCACG